rnacentral:rRNA from 1 species
UUGAACGCUGGCGGCAGGCCUAACACAUGCAAGUCGAACGGUAACAGGAAACAGCUUGCUGUUUCGCUGACGAGUGGCGGACGGGUGAGUAAUGUCUGGGAAACUGCCUGAUGGAGGGGGAUAACUACUGGAAACGGUAGCUAAUACCGCAUAAUGUCGCAAGACCAAAGAGGGGGACCUUCGGGCCUCUUGCCAUCGGAUGUGCCCAGAUGGGAUUAGCUAGUAGGUGGGGUAACGGCUCACCUAGGCGACGAUCCCUAGCUGGUCUGAGAGGAUGACCAGCCACACUGGAACUGAGACACGGUCCAGACUCCUACGGGAGGCAGCAGUGGGGAAUAUUGCACAAUGGGCGCAAGCCUGAUGCAGCCAUGCCGCGUGUAUGAAGAAGGCCUUCGGGUUGUAAAGUACUUUCAGCGGGGAGGAAGGGAGUAAAGUUAAUACCUUUGCUCAUUGACGUUACCCGCAGAAGAAGCACCGGCUAACUCCGUGCCAGCAGCCGCGGUAAUACGGAGGGUGCGAGCGUUAAUCGGAAUUACUGGGCGUAAAGCGCACGCAGGCGGUUUGUUAAGUCAGAUGUGAAAUCCCCGGGCUCAACCUGGGAACUGCAUCUGAUACUGGCAAGCUUGAGUCUCGUAGAGGGGGGUAGAAUUCCAGGUGUAGCGGUGAAAUGCGUAGAGAUCUGGAGGAAUACCGGUGGCGAAGGCGGCCCCCUGGACGAAGACUGACGCUCAGGUGCGAAAGCGUGGGGAGCAAACAGGAUUAGAUACCCUGGUAGUCCACGCCGUAAACGAUGUCGACUUGGAGGUUGUGCCCUUGAGGCGUGGCUUCCGGAGCUAACGCGUUAAGUCGACCGCCUGGGGAGUACGGCCGCAAGGUUAAAACUCAAAUGAAUUGACGGGGGCCCGCACAAGCGGUGGAGCAUGUGGUUUAAUUCGAUGCAACGCGAAGAACCUUACCUGGUCUUGACAUCCACAGAACUUUCCAGAGAUGGAUUGGUGCCUUCGGGAACUGUGAGACAGGUGCUGCAUGGCUGUCGUCAGCUCGUGUUGUGAAAUGUUGGGUUAAGUCCCGCAACGAGCGCAACCCUUAUCCUUUGUUGCCAGCGGUCCGGCCGGGAACUCAAAGGAGACUGCCAGUGAUAAACUGGAGGAAGGUGGGGAUGACGUCAAGUCAUCAUGGCCCUUACGACCAGGGCUACACACGUGCUACAAUGGCGCAUACAAAGAGAAGCGACCUCGCGAGAGCAAGCGGACCUCAUAAAGUGCGUCGUAGUCCGGAUUGGAGUCUGCAACUCGACUCCAUGAAGUCGGAAUCGCUAGUAAUCGUGGAUCAGAAUGCCACGGUGAAUACGUUCCCGGGCCUUGUACACACCGCCCGUCACACCAUGGGAGUGGGUUGCAAAAGAAGUAGGUAGCUUAACCUUCGGGAGGGCGCUUACCACUUUGUGAUUCAUGACUGGGGUG